UACGUAGGGGGCAAGCGUUGUCCGGAUUUAUUGGGCGUAAAGCGCUCGCAGGUGGUUCGUCGCGUCGUGCGUGAAAGACCCCGGCUCAACUGGGGAGGGUCGUGCGAUACGGGCGGACUGGAGGCCAGUAGGGGGAUGCGGAAUUCCGGGUGUAGUGGUGGAAUGCGUAGAUAUCUGGAGGAACACCGGUGGCGAAAGCGGCUCACUGGACCCGAUCUGACACUGAGGUGCGAAAGCUAGGGUAGCAAACGGG
rnacentral:rRNA from 1 species